rnacentral:rRNA from 1 species
UACGGGGGGUGCAAGCGUUGUCCGGAAUCAUUGGGCGUAAAGCGUUCGUAGGCGGUAUGUCAAGUCUGAUGUUAAAGCCCGGGGCUCAACUCCGGUUCGGCAUUGGAUACUGGCAAACUAGAAUGUGGUAGAGGUAAAGGGAAUUCCUGGUGUAGCGGUGAAAUGCGUAGAUAUCAGGAGGAACAUCGGUGGCGAAAGCGGCUUACUGGACUGUAACUGACGUUGAGGCUCGAAAGCGUGGGGAGCAAACAGG